AGUGGGAUAGCUGGGUCAAAUGGUGGCACUACUUCUAAUUUUUUUCAGGAAUUUCCAUAUUGCUUUCUAGAAUGGUUGCACCAAUUUGCAGUCCCACCAACAAU
rnacentral:pre_miRNA from 1 species